AUGGUUAAGUUAGAAAGGGCGCACGGUGGAUGCCUUGGCACUAGGAGCCGAUGAAGGACGGGACGAACACCGAUAUGCUUCGGGGAGCUGUAAGCAAGCUUUGAUCCGGAGAUUUCCGAAUGGGGAAACCCACUGCUCGUAAUGGAGUAGUAUCCAUACUUGAAUACAUAGAGUAUGAGAAGGCAUACCCGGGGAACUGAAACAUCUAAGUACCCGGAGGAAGAGAAAGCAAAUGCGAUUCCCUGAGUAGCGGCGAGCGAAACGGGAACAGCCCAAACCAAGAGGCUU
rnacentral:rRNA from 1 species